CCAGUCUUCGUACGAUCACUAAAGUUAAGCAACGAUGGGCCUGGUCAGUACCUAGAUGGGUGACCGCUUGGGAAUAGCAGAUACUGUAAG